rnacentral:rRNA from 1 species
AACGAACGCUGGCGGCAGGCUUAACACAUGCAAGUCGAGCGAGAUCUUCGGGUCUAGCGGCGGACGGGUGAGUAACGCGUGGGAACGUGCCCUUUUCUGCGGAAUAGCCUCGGGAAACUGAGAGUAAUACCGCAUACGCCCUUUUGGGGAAAGAUUAAUCGGAGAGGGAUCGGCCCGCGUUGGAUGAGGUAGUUGGUAGGGUAAAGGCCUACCAAGCCGACGAUCCAUAGCUGGUUUGAGAGGAUGAUCAGCCACACUGGGACUGAGACACGGCCCAGACUCCUACGGGAGGCAGCAGUGGGGAAUCUUAGACAAUGGGGGCAACCCUGAUCUAGCCAUGCCGCGUGAGUGAUGAAGGCCUUAGGGUUGUAAAGCUCUUUCAGCUGGGAAGAUAAUGACGGUACCAGCAGAAGAAGCCCCGACUAACUCCGUGCCAGCCGCCGCAGUAAAAC